rnacentral:rRNA from 1 species
AGUCUGGUGCCAGCAGCCGCGGUAAUUCCAGCUCCAAUAGCGUAUAUUAAAGUUGCUGCAGUUAAAAAGCUCGUAGUUGGAUUUCUGACAUUUUGUGAUUGUAGUCUGGCCCGGUUGAUUCAUCGACUGAGUGCUGGAUUGCUCGUGUCAUCCUUCUGGUGGUCGUUCUUGCAUGGCAUGUUCAUUGACAAGGUGAAGCCUUCAUUGGUUUUGUCUUGAAGGAGUACGAGUUGUGUGAGUACGGUUACUGCCAGAUCUUUUACUUUGAAAAAAUUAGAGUGUUUAAGGCAGGCUUAUGCCAUGAAUACAUUUGCAUGGAAUAAUAAUUUAGGACUUUGGUUUUAAUUUUGUUGGUUCUCAAGGGCUGAAGUAAUGAUUGAUAGGGACAGUUGGGGGUGCUCGUAUUCAGUGGCCAGAGGUGAAAUUCUUGGAUUCACUGAAGACGAACUUAUGCGAAAGCAUUCACCAAGGAUGUCUUCUUUAAUCAAGAACGAAAGUUGGGGGAUCGAAGACGAUUAGAUACCGUCGUAGUCUCAACUAUAAACUAUGCCGACUAGGGAUGGGUGAGUGUUGUUUUUAAUAUCGACUUCAUCCGAACCUUAUGAGAAAUCAAAGUCUUUGGGUUCCGGGGGGAGUAUGGUCGCAAGGCUGAAACUUAAAGGAAUUGACGGAAGGGCACACCAGGAGUGGAGCCUGCGGCUUAAUUUGACCCAACACGGGAAAACUUACCAGGUCCGGACACAGUGAGGAUUGACAGAUGGAAGAUCUUUCUUGAUUCUGUGGGUGGUGGUGCAUGGCCGUUCUUAGUUGGUGCUGUGAAGUGUCUGUUUAAUUACGUUAACGAACGAGACCACGACCUAUUAAAUAGUUGGGUUUAACUUGUGAAGGUUAGACAGAAGGUUGUAUUCUGUCAAAGGAAUAUGAUCGACCAACUUCUUAAAGGGACUAUCGGUGUUUAAUAGCCGGGGGAAGUACGUGGCAAUAACAGGUCUGUGAUGCCCUUUAGAUGUUCUGGGCCGCACGCGCGCUACACUGAUGGGUGCAUCGAGUUUUUAUCCUUAACCGAAAGGUUUGGGUAAUCUUUUUAAAACCCAUCGUGCUGGGGAUAGACCAUUGUAAUUAUUGGUCUUCAACGAGGAAUUCCUAGUAAACGCAAGUCAUCAGCUUGCAUUGAUUACGUCCCUGCCCUUUGUACACACCGCCCGUCGCUGCUACCGAUUGAAUGAAUUAGUGAGCUUCAUGGAUUACUUUUUUCGAAGGCAACUUUGAAAAUGGGUGAGAAGUGAAUCC